UACGGGGGGGGGCUAGCGUUGUUCGGAAUUAUUGGGCGUAAAGGGCGCGUAGGCGGCCUGGCAAGUGGAAGGUGAAAUCCCUCGGCUUAACCGAGGAACUGCCCUCCAAACUGCUUGGCUUGAGUCCGGGAGAGGUGAGUGGAAUUCCCAGUGUAGCGGUGAAAUGCGUAGAUAUUGGGAGGAACACCAGUGGCGAAGGCGGCUCACUGGACCGGAACUGACGCUGAGGCGCGAAAGCGUGGGGAGCAAACGGG
rnacentral:rRNA from 1 species